rnacentral:misc_RNA from 1 species
GACGGCGAGUACACAAUUCCACGCGUACUCGCCUGUGGACACACAACCUGCGAGUCAUGCCUUAAAAGCCUCCCUCAAAAGUACCCUCAGACAAUUCGCUGCCCGGCGUGUACCCAACUCGUCAAGUUCCCAUCCCAGGGCCCCUCUUUUCUUCCCAAAAAUAUCGACCUCCUCAGGCUAAUCCCCACCACCUCUCAACUUCAAAAUCCCCCAAAAC